CUUCAAUGAACGUCUUUAGUUGUGCUGUCCUGGCUCCCUCGGUAUCCUGAAUCCAUUCAAAAGUUACUUUUCACGGUCAUUUUGACUUAGGGAAAUAGCCCGAAGUCACGCAGUCCCAGGCCUGAUGAUCAGAGUGAGCGAGGACACAUCGCGAUGUUUUCAUGAACCUGCCGUUAGGUUGGGCGGCGCUCGGCAGCAGCGUUCACCAUAUUUUUGAUGACCCUUUGUAAAGACACUCGUGGAAGAGGACUUCUGGAAUAGCUUCAGAGAGUGGAGUAAGGAUGUACGUUCAAGGUUACUCCCACCGUUAGAGAAACAGCCGAGAAAGGAACAUGCAGAUGAUCUAUAUUUAGGACACACAAAGCUGCUUUUGGUGAAUGCACAUCUGCAAGCAAUUAAUAAAUAAUUUAGGAAAA
rnacentral:lncRNA from 1 species